rnacentral:rRNA from 1 species
AUUGAACGCUGGCGGCAGGCUUAACACAUGCAAGUCGAGCGGGGGAAGGUAGCUUGCUACCGGACCUAGCGGCGGACGGGUGAGUAAUGCUUAGGAAUCUGCCUAUUAGUGGGGGACAACAUCUCGAAAGGGAUGCUAAUACCGCAUACGUCCUACGGGAGAAAGCAGGGGAUCUUCGGACCUUGCGCUAAUAGAUGAGCCUAAGUCGGAUUAGCUAGUUGGUGGGGUAAAGGCCUACCAAGGCGACGAGCUGUAGCGGGUCUGAGAGGAUGGUCCGCCACACUGGGACUGAGACACGGCCCAGGCUCCUACGGGAGGCAGCAGUGGGGAAUAUUGGACAAUGGGGGGAACCCUGAUCCAGCCAUGCCGCGUGUGUGAAGAAGGCCUUAUGGUUGUAAAGCACUUUAAGCGAGGAGGAGGCUACUUUAGUUAAUACCUAGAGAUAGUGGACGUUACUCGCAGAAUAAGCACCGGCUAACUCUGUGCCAGCAGCCGCCGUAA